rnacentral:lncRNA from 1 species
GCGGAGGAGCAGACGGUCCCGAUCCCGAUCCCGGUCCCGCAGGCGCCACCAGCGCAAGUACCGGCGAUACUCGCGGUCGUACUCACGCAGCCGAUCGCGGUCCCGCGGCCACCGCUACUACCGAGACAGCCGUUACGAGCAGCCGCGGAGGUACUACCAGUCGCCGUCGCCCUACCGGUCCCGGAGCAGGUCGCGCUCCCGUGGGAGGUCCCAUCACCGGAGGUCGUACUACGCGAUCACUCGAGGGCGGCGCUACUAUGGCUUCGGCCGAACCGUGUACCCGGAGGAUCGCCCCAGGUGGCGGGAAAGAUCCAGGACCAGGUCGCGCAGCAGGAGCAGAACCCCUUUUCGCCUGAGUGAGAAAGAUCGAAUGGAGCUGCUAGAAAUAGCAAAAGCCAACGCAGCAAAAGCUCUAGGAACAGCCAACUUUGACCUGCCAGCAAGUCUCCGUGCCAAGGAAGCAAGCCAGGGAGCUGUUUCCUGCAGUGGGCCAAAGACGGAGAAAUCAUGAAUGUGGUCUCCAGACAAUGAUGAAGAAAAUCUGUUGGUAAUUGAUCAUGGGUUCAAGUGUCAGAAUUUACGUUUACAGAAUAAAGCUUAGUCUUUGUUGAAGGUAGUCCAUGUGCAUGCUAGAGUUUUGGGCUAGGGACUAUGUGUGUAAGGCAGUUUGACAGCUCAGCCUAGAAGCACUGUCAUGGUGGGGCAUCGGUGAAUUAGACAUCCCUCACAUAAUAUAUGCAAUAUAUUCCAGAUGUUUUGAGAGAUUACAGAAGAAGAGGCCUGCUUCACUUGCAGAUAAGUUUAUUACAAUUCUCCAGAACUACAGAGGAUGUGCACUGGCACCUCGCAUUGUAUUUAUAGGUUAAUUUUUCAUGUGUGAAACCUUGAUCUUAAGAUUUUGGGCUGGGAUGUAACUCAGUUUGUAGAGAGCCUGUCGAGGGUGCAGUAACACUGGGGGUUAGUUCCCAGCACUGAUAACUGGGUUUAGUACCCCAUACCUGUGAUCCCCAGCAGUUGGGAGACUGUCCUUGGACAGCUAGGGGAUAGAUACAAGAGAUGUGGUCUCAGAAAACCACUUUAUAGAAAUGUAAGGUUAAAAAGAUAACAGAAUAAUGGAGAUAGUUUGUCUGUUGCUGAGAUCUCAGGGGCUGUAUAGUGUUUGCUCAGGCAAGUGCCCAAGAGGGGCGCCUUGAUGAAUGAAUUACAAAUGCUUCAGUUCUUUGACAAACAUUUUUUAUUGUACUUACUCAGAAUGAGUUGUAUCUACAACAGGAAUCUGGUAUUCAUGGGGAACUGUGUCUCCUAAGUCAAUCUUGCUAAGUGGAAAACAGAUUUGUUGAUUAGUGCAUUAACUGUGACAAUAGGUGGAAUUUGGUACGUGUAUCUACAGCUACAUUUGUGUACACUUGGGCUUUUUAUACAGUAUUCAAAAAACUAAGGCUGUGUUCAAAAUUCUCUUCCUCUUUAGCAUUCAGAAAAGCAGACUGAAGUGGGAACUAAAAAUGCCAGUGAGAAAUCUGCUGCUGCACAGAGAAACAUAGCGUUCAGCUCUAAU